GGAUGUGAUGGCAAUUUGGCUGCGACGUCUGUGACCCCAUUGAUCGCCAGGGUUUUUUCGGCUGAACUGGAUGGCUAGGCGGGUGUACCCUUCCUCCCUCACUGCUCCAUGUGCGUCCCUCCCGAAACUGCGUGCUAGGUCGAAAAGGGCAGCCUUGCCCAAAUAGAGAUGAACCGGUCUUCGGUCGAGGGUAUAGUAGUAGCUGUGCUCCCCUGCUAGAACCUCCAAACAAGCUCUCAAGUCUCAAUACUCAAUUAACAGGCAGUGGUCCUUCUAUCCAAUCAGGAGAUUGGACUAAGUAUAUAGCUUUUGCUU
ensembl:misc_RNA 7SK 7SK RNA